ensembl:lncRNA
AACCACGAUGGUCUCCAUGGUGACCACCACCAAGAGAAACAUCUUCAUGGUCACCAUGGCAACCACAACGAUCUCCACGGCAACCACCAUGAAAAGCAUCCCCAUGGUCUCCAUGGCAACCACCACCAUGAAAACCAUGGGGACCACCACCACGAUGGUCUCCAUGGCAACCACCACAUGGAGAAACAUCUUUAUGAUCUCCACGGCGACCACGACGGUCACCAUGGCAACCGCCACCAGGAGAAGCACAGGGACCACCAUGGCGGUCACCAGGGCAACCACAAGGAUCUCCAUGGCGACCACGAUGGUCUCCAUGGCAACCAUCACCUGGAGAAACAUCCCCACGGUCUCCACGGCCACCACCAGCAGGAGAAGCACGGGGACCAGCACCAGGAGAAGCACCUUCACGGUUUCCAUGGCGACCACAACGAUCUCCAGGGCCACCAGCACCAGGAGAAGCAUCUUCACGGUCUCCAUGGCGACCACCAUGACCACCACCAGGAGAAGCAUCUCCAUGGUCUCCACGGCAACCACAAUGAUCUCCACGGCCACCACCACCAGCAGAAGCAUCUCCACGGUCUCCACGGCAACCACGAUGGUUUCCAUGGUGACCACAACGAUCUCCAUGGCCACCACCACCAGCAGAAGCAUCUCCACGGUCUCCAUGGCGACCACGACGGCGGCAAAGGCGUCAACCGGCUGGAGGGACCCGGUGACCGCGGGAAGCGACCCCAGCGACCGCUGCCCGGGGCCCACUAACCGACCACUAACCAACCGCUAACCAACCGCUAACCAACCACUAACCAACCACUAACCACGGUAACCAACCCACUAACCAACCCACUAACCAACCGCUAACCAACCGCUAACCAACCACUAACCACGGUAACCAACCCGUAACCAACCCACUAACCAACCGCUAACCAACCACUAACCAACCGCUAACCAACCACUAACCAACCACUAACCAACCAGUAACCAGCCAGUAACCAACCGGUGCACCUGAGAGACACCUGGGAGACCCAAAAACCCACCUGAGAUACACCUGAGAGACACCAAACCCACCUGAGAGACACCAAACCCACCUGAGAGACACCAAAACCACCUGAGAGACACCAAAACCACCUGAGAUACACCAAACCCACCUGAGAUACACCAAAACCACCUGAGAUACACCAAAACCCACCUGAGAUACACCUGAGAUACACCAAAACCCACCUGAGAUAGACCAAAACCACCUGAGAGACACCAAAAUUCACCUGAGAUAGACCAAAACCCACCUGAGAGACACCAAACCCACCUGAGAGACACCAAAACCACCUGAGAUACACCAAAACCACCUGAGAUACACCAAACCCACCUGAGAUAGACCAAAACCACCUGAGAGACACCAAAACCCACCUGAGAGACACCAAACCCACCUGAGAUACACCAAAACCACCUGAGAUACACCAAAACCCACCUGAGAGACACCAAAACCACCUGAGAGACCCAAAACCCACCUGAGAGACACCAAACCCACCUGAGAUACACCAAAACCACCUGAGAUACACCAAACCCACCUGAGAUACACCAAAACCACCUGAGAUAGACCAAAACCCACCUGAGAUACACCAAAACCCACCUGAGAUACACCAAAACCCACCUGAGAUACACCAAAAUUCACCUGAGAUACACCAAACCCACCUGAGAUACACCAAAACCACCUGAGAUA